GAUGAAGAACGUAGCGAAAUGCGAUAAGUAAUGUGAAUUGCAGAAUUCAGUGAAUCAUCGAAUCUUUGAACGCACCUUGCGCUCCUUGGCAUUCCGAGGAGCAUGCCUGUUUGAGUGUCAUUAAAUUCUCAAGACCUGUCUGCUUUUUUGAUAGGUAUUGGAUUUUGGGGGUUGCAGGCUGUUUCAAAUAAAUAGCCUUGCUCUCCUUGAAUGUAUUAGUGGAGAAAAGCCAAUGAACUCCAUUGGUGUGAUAAAACCUAUCAAUGCCAGGAGCAAUAUCACUACUUCUCUCUGCUGUCUAACUGUGACUGUCUGUAUUAAUUAGUAUGGAUGGGGACAACUUGACCAACUUGACCUCAAAUCAGGUAGGACUACCCGCUGAACUUAAGCAUAUCAAUAAGCGGAGGA
rnacentral:misc_RNA from 1 species